GACGAACGCUGGCGGCGUGCUUAACACAUGCAAGUCGAACGCUGAAGCUCAGCUUUUGUUGGGUGGAUGAGUGGCGAACGGGUGAGUAACACGUGAGUAACCUGCCCCCUUCUUUGGGAUAACGCCCGGAAACGGGUGCUAAUACUGGAUAUUCACUGGUCUUCGCAUGGGGGUUGGUGGAAAGGGUUUUUCUGGUGGGGGAUGGGCUCGCGGCCUAUCAGCUUGUUGGUGGGGUGAUGGCCUACCAAGGCUUUGACGGGUAGCCGGCCUGAGAGGGUGACCGGUCACAUUGGGACUGAGAUACGGCCCAGACUCCUACGGGAGGCAGCAGUGGGGAAUAUUGCACAAUGGGCGCAAGCCUGAUGCAGCGACGCCGCGUGAGGGAUGGAGGCCUUCGGGUUGUGAACCUCUUUCGCUCAUGGUCAAGCCGCAACAAUGGUUGUGGUGAAGGUAGUGGGUAAAGAAGCGCCGGCUAACUACGUG
rnacentral:rRNA from 1 species